GACACAGAACAAAGACCUUACAGAGUGGGAGCUCCAUAGAUACCAGGGGAUAGGAUCAAUGGUGGAAAAUAAACUGACAGAGUUCGAGCCUCCACCCUCAAGCUAUCCACCAUAACACCCCACCAGAGGAUUAUGGUUUCAGUCACAGGCAGCUGAAUAAUUCAUCUUGGACCAGAGCUGACAGGUCUACAGAUGGAUGGUUGAGAACCAGGGAACCUGGCAUUAUCAGCCCCAUUUACCAGGAUGGGAGAUGGAGUGGGAGGGUAAGUAAGUCUCCCAAGGGAGCUCAGCUAGUGAAGGCAGAGCCAGGACAUGAGCCGUGGUUUUCGACUUCAAGCCCAGGGUGGUUUUCAGGAUA
ensembl:lncRNA